rnacentral:rRNA from 1 species
CCUACGGGAGGCAGCAGUGAGGAAUAUUGGUCAAUGGACGCAAGUCUGAACCAGCCAUGCCGCGUGCAGGAAGACGGCUCUAUGAGUUGUAAACUGCUUUUGUACGAGGGUAAACGCACGUACGCGUAUCUGUCUGCACGUAUCUUACGAAUAGGGAUCGGCUAACUCCGUGCCAGCAGCCGCGGUAAUACGGAGGAUUCAAGCGUUAUCCGGAUUUAUUGGGUUUAAAGGGUGCGUAGGCGGUCGGAGAAGUUAGAGGUGAAAUCCCGAGGCUCAACUUCGGAAUUGCGUCUGAUACUGUUCGGCUAGAGAGUAGUUGCGGUAGGCGGAAUGUAUGGUGUAGCGGUGAAAUGCUUAGAGAUCAGACAGAACACCGAUUGCGAAGGCAGCUUACCAAGCUACUUCUGACGUUGAGGCACGAAAGCGUGGGGAGCAAACAGGAUUAGAUACCCGAGUAGUC